UACGUGAGGGGCAAGCGUUGUCCGGAUUUAUUGGGCGUAAAGAGCGUGUAGGCGGCCAGAUAGGUCAGCUGUGAAAACUCGAGGCUCAACCUCGAAGAUGUCGGCUGAAACCAUCUGGCUAGAGUCCGGAAGAGGAGAAUGGAAUUCCCGGGUGUAAGCGGUGAAAUGCGCAGAGUAGUCGGGAACGAACACCCGUGGCGAAGGCGGUUCUGCUGGACGGUACUGAGCUGAGACGCGAAAGCGUGGGGAGCAAA
rnacentral:rRNA from 1 species